UGAGAAACGGCUACCACAUCUAAGGAAGGCAGCAGGCGCGCAAAUUACCCAAUCCUAAUACAGGGAGGUAGUGACAAGAAAUAACAAUACAGGACUUUUUGGUUUUGUAAUUGGAAUGAGUUAAGUAUAAACCCCUUUACAAGUAUCAAUUGGAGGGCAAGUCUGGUGCCAGCAGCCGCGGUAAUUCCAGCUCCAAUAGCGUAUAUUAAAGUUGUUGCAGUUAAAAAGCUCGUAGUUGGAUUUCUGUUAAUAAUUUAUAUAAAAUAUUUUGAUGAAUAUUUAUAUAAUAUUAACAU
rnacentral:rRNA from 1 species